GACGAACGCUGGCGGCGUGCCUAAUACAUGCAAGUCGAACGCAUUUUCUUUCACCGUAGCUUGCUACACCGAAAGAAAAUGAGUGGCGAACGGGUGAGUAACACGUGUGUAACCUGCCCAUCAGCGGGGGAUAACACUUGGAAACAGGUGCUAAUACCGCAUAAUUCCAUUUACUGCAUGGUAGAUGGAUGAAAGGCGCUUUUGCGUCCCUGAUGGAUGGACCCGCGGUGCAUUAGCUAGUUGGUGGGGUAACGGCCUACGAAGGCUGCGAUGCAUAGCCGACCGGGGAAGGUGAUCGGCCAAACUGGGACUGAGACACGGCACAGAAUCAUACGGGAGGCAGCAGUAGGGAAUCAUCGGCAAUGGACGCAAGUCUGACCGAGCAAAGCCGCGUGAGUGAAGAAGGGUGUCGGAUCGUAAAACUCUGUUGUUAGAAAAGAAAAAGGAUGAGAGUGGAAAGUUCAUCCCUUGACGGUAUCUAACCAGAAAGCCACGGCUAACUACGUG
rnacentral:rRNA from 1 species